rnacentral:rRNA from 1 species
UACGUAGGGGGCAAGCGUUGUCCGGAAUCAUUGGGCGUAAAGAGCGUGUAGGCGGUCCGGUAAGUCCGUUGUGAAAGUCAGGGGCUCAACCCUUGAAUGGCGGCGGAUACUGUCGGGCUAGAGUCCGGAAGAGGCGAGUGGAAUUCCCGGUGUAGCGGUGAAAUGCGCAGAUAUCGGGAGGAACACCUAUGGCGAAGGCAGCUCGCUGGGACGGUACUGACGCUGAGACGCGAAAGCGUGGGGAGCAAACAGG